CAGCAGCCGCGGUAAUACGGAGGGAGCUAGCGUUGUUCGGAAUUACUGGGCGUAAAGCGCGCGUAGGCGGUUACUCAAGUCAGAGGUGAAAGCCCGGGGCUCAACCCCGGAACUGCCUUUGAAACUAGGUGACUAGAAUCUUGGAGAGGUCAGUGGAAUUCCGAGUGUAGAGGUGAAAUUCGUAGAUAUUCGGAAGAACACCAGUGGCGAAGGCGACUGACUGGACAAGUAUUGACGCUGAGGUGCGAAAGCGUGGGGAGCAAACAGGAUUAGAUACCCUGUAGUCCCUGUCUCUUAUACA
rnacentral:rRNA from 1 species